AAGAGGACCAGUAUAGGAUCGGAAAUACUGAUUGAUCCAUCAUUGCUGCUUUUGGACGAGCCAACAUCAGGACUGGAUUCUGCCACAGCUUUGAAAAUCCUGCAAGUUGUUGGGAACAUAGCACAAGUAAGUUCCUUCGCUAUUAUGAUCAGAAGAUCUAAAGUUUUACUUGUUCUAAAGGCAGGAAGAACAAUCCUUACCACGAUCCACCAGCCAUCGAGCAGGCUGUUUCACAUGUUUGACAAGCUGAUAUUGAUAUCUGAGGGCCACACUAUUUACUCGGGUCCUGCCAGGGAAGUGAUGAGUUACUUUUCUUCGCUGCACUUUGUACCAGAGAUAACUAUGAACCCGGCGGAUUUCCUGUUGGAUUUGGCUGUAGGAGUGGUGCAUGAUAUCAGCAUCCCCGAAGAUAUAAC
rnacentral:lncRNA from 1 species